GAUGAACGCUGGCGGCGUGCCUAAUACAUGCAAGUCGAGCGAACAGACGAGGAGCUUGCUCCUCUGACGUUAGCGGCGGACGGGUGAGUAACACGUGGAUAACCGACCUAUGAGACUGGGAUAACUUCGGGAAACCGGAGCUAAAACCGGAUAAUAUAUUGAACCGCAUGGUUCAAUAGUGAAAGACGGUUUUGCUGUCACUUAUAGAUGGAUCCGCGCCGCAUUAGCUAGUUGGUAAGGUAACGGCUUACCAAGGCGACGAUGCGUAGCCGACCUGAGAGGGUGAUCGGCCACACUGGAACUGAGACACGGUCCAGACUCCUACGGGAGGCAGCAGUAGGGAAUCUUCCGCAAUGGGCGAAAGCCUGACGGAGCAACGCCGCGUGAGUGAUGAAGGUCUUCGGAUCGUAAAACUCUGUUAUUAGGGAAGAACAAAUGUGUAAGUAACUAUGCACGUCUUGACGGUACCUAAUCAGAAAGCCACGGCUAACUACGUG
rnacentral:rRNA from 1 species